UGUCGUGUAUUACUUUUAAAGCAAAGACAAUUGUUUUCGAAAAAAACCCGUAUAUCUUAAUAUGACACCAGUUACUGCCCUAAGUAUAUCAGAGAACAUUGCCAUUGACACUAGCUGUGUACACUUGAUAAUUAUUUCAACAAUUGAUAAUUGUGAUUGGCAUACGUUUCCCAUGUAAAUCGUGAAUGAUGGCAUACUGAUG
rnacentral:lncRNA from 1 species